GAGUUUGAUCCUGGCUCAGAAUGAACGUUGGCGGCAUGGAUUAGGCAUGCAAGUCGAGCGAGAAGGAAAUCAAAGUUUACUUUGAUUUCCGGAAAGCGGCGCAAGGGAGAGUAACGCGUAGUUAUCUACCCCAAGGCCCGGAAUAGCUGCGGGAAACUGCAGGUAAUGCCGGAUAAUAUCCCCGGAUCAAAGGUGUGAUUCCGCCUUGGGAGGAGACUGCGUUGUACUAGCUUGUUGGUAGGGUAAUGGCCUACCAAGGCUACGAUGCAUAGCGGGCGUGAGAGCGUGGCCCGUCUCACUGGGACUGAAACACUGCCCAGACACCUACGGGUGGCUGCAGUCGAGAAUCUUCGGCAAUGGGCGAAAGCCUGACCGAGCAAUGCCGCGUGCGGGAUGAAGGCCCUCGGGUUGUAAACCGCUGUCGUAGGGGAGAAAGGUCUCAUGAAGAAUGAGAUUUGAUCUAUCCUAGGAGGAAGUCCGGGCUAAGUUCGUGCCAGCAGCCGCGGUAACACGAACCGGACAAACGUUAUUCGGAAUUAUUGGGCUUAAAGGGUGCGUAGGCGGUGCGGUAAGUGAGGUGUGAAAGCCCUCGGCUCAACCGAGGAAUUGCGCUUCAUACUGCCGUGCUGGAGGGAGACAGAGGUAAGCGGAACUGAUGGUGGAGCGGUGAAAUGCGUUGAUAUCAUCAGGAACACCGGUGGCGAAAGCGGCUUACUGGGUCUCUUCUGACGCUGAGGCACGAAAGCUAGGGUAGCGAACGGGAUUAGAUACCCCGGUAGUCCUAGCCGUAAACGAUGAGCACUUGAUUGAGGGCCCCCCCAUAGGCUCUCGAUCGCAGCGAAAGUGUUAAGUGCUCCGCCUGGGAGUAGU
rnacentral:rRNA from 1 species